UACGAAGGGUGCAAGCGUUACUCGGAAUUACUGGGCGUAAAGCGUGCGUAGGUGGUUCGUUAAGUCUGUCGUGAAAGCCCCGGGCUCAACCUGGGAAUGGCGAUGGAUACUGGCGGGCUAGAGUGCGGUAGAGGAGAGUGGAAUUCCCGGUGUAGCAGUGAAACGCGUAGAGAUCGGGAGGAACAUCAGUUGCGAAGGCGGCUCUCUGGACCAGCACUGACACUGAGGCACGAAAGCGUGGGGAGCAAACAGG
rnacentral:rRNA from 1 species